GAGUAACACGUGGGUAACCUACCUAUAAGACUGGGAUAACUCCGGGAAACCGGGGCUAAUACCGGAUAAUACAUGAAACCGCAUGGUUUCAUGAUGAAAGACGGUUUUGCUGUCACUUAUAGAUGGACCCGCGGCGUAUUAGCUAGUUGGUAAGGUAACGGCUUACCAAGGCAACGAUACGUAGCCGACCUGAGAGGGUGAUCGGCCACACUGGAACUGAGACACGGUCCAGACUCCUACGGGAGGCAGCAGUAGGGAAUCUUCCGCAAUGGGCGAAAGCCUGACGGAGCAACGCCGCGUGAGUGAUGAAGGUCUUCGGAUCGUAAAACUCUGUUAUUAGGGAAGAACAAGGAUGUAAGUAACUAUGCAUCCCUUGACGGUACCUAAUCAGAAAGCCACGGCUAACUACGUGCCAGCAGCCGCGGUAAUACGUAGGUGGCAAGCGUUAUCCGGAAUUAUUGGGCGUAAAGCGCGCGUAGGCGGUUUUUUAAGUCUGAUGUGAAAGCCCACGGCUCAACCGUGGAGGGUCAUUGGAAACUGGAAAACUUGAGUGCAGAAGAGGAAAGUGGAAUUCCAUGUGUAGCGGUGAAAUGCGCAGAGAUAUGGAGGAACACCAGUGGCGAAGGCGACUUUCUGGUCUGCAACUGACGCUGAUGUGCGAAAGCGUGGGGAUCAAACAGGAUUAGAUACCCUGGUAGUCCACGCCGUAAACGAUGAGUGCUAAGUGUUAGGGGGUUUCCGCCCCUUAGUGCUGCAGCUAACGCAUUAAGCACUCCGCCUGGGGAGUACGGCCGCAAGGCUGAAACUCAAAGGAAUUGACGGGGACCCGCACAAGCGGUGGAGCAUGUGGUUUAAUUCGAAGCAACGCGAAGAACCUUACCAAAUCUUGACAUCCUUUGACAACUCUAGAGAUAGAGCCUUCCCCUUCGGGGGACAAAGUGACAGGUGGUGCAUGGUUGUCGUCAGCUCGUGUCGUGAGAUGUUGGGUUAAGUCCCGCAACGAGCGCAACCCUUAAGCUUAGUUGCCAGCAUUAAGUUGGGCACUCUAAGUUGACUGCCGGUGACAAACCGGAGGAAGGUGGGGAUGACGUCAAAUCAUCAUGCCCCUUAUGAUUUGGGCUACACACGUGCUACAAUGGACGGUACAAAGGGCAGCGAACCCGCGAGGUCAAGCAAAUCCCAUAAAGCCGUUCUCAGUUCGGAUUGUAGUCUGCAACUCGACUACAUGAAGCUGGAAUCGCUAGUAAUCGUAGAUCAGCAUGCUACGGUGAAUACGUUCCCGGGUCUUGUACACACCGCCCGUCACACCACGAGAGUUUGUAACACCCGAAGCCGGUGGAGUAACCUUUUAGGAACUAGCCGUCGAAGGUGGGACAAAUGAUUGGGGUGAAGUCGUAACAAGGUAGCCGUAUCGGAAGGUGCGGCUGGAUCACCUCCUUUCUAAGGA
rnacentral:rRNA from 1 species